GACGUAGGGCGCGAGCGUUGUCCGGAUUUAUUGGGCGUAAAGAGCUCGUAGGCGGCUUGUCGCGUCGACUGUGAAAACCCGGGGCUCAACCCCGGACUUGCGGUGGGUACGGGCAGACUAGAGUGUGGUAGGGGAGACUGGAAUUCCUGGUGUAGCGGUGAAAUGCGCAGAUAUCAGGAGGAACACCGAUGGCGAAGGCAGGUCUCUGGGCCACUACUGACGCUGAGAAGCGAAAGCGUGGGGAGCGAACAGG
rnacentral:rRNA from 1 species